rnacentral:rRNA from 1 species
UACGUAGGGGGCAAGCGUUGUCCGGAUUUAUUGGGCGUAAAGAGCGUGUAGGCGCCAGACAGGUCCGUUGUGAAAACUCGAGGCUCAACCUCGAGACGUCGAUGGAAACCGUCUGGCUAGAGUUUGGCAGAGGGGGGUAGAAUUCCACGUGUAGCAGUGAAAUGCGUAGAUAUGUGGAGGAACACCGAUGGCGAAGGCAGCCCCCUGGGUCAAGACUGACGCUCAUGCACGAAAGCGUGGGGAGCAAACAGG